CGCACGGGUGAGUAACGCGUAUGCGACCUGCCCGUUGCAGGGGGAUAAUCGGGAGAAAUCCCGUCUAAUACCGCGUAACGCCGCGGGGCUGCAUGGCCCUGCGGCCAAAGGGAGCGAUUCCGGCAACGGAUGGGCAUGCGUGAUAUUAGCUAGUUGGCGGGGCAAUGGCCCACCAAGGCGACGAUGUCUAGGGGUUCUGAGAGGAAGGUCCCCCACACUGGUACUGAGACACGGACCAGACUCCUACGGAAGGCAGCAG
rnacentral:rRNA from 1 species